rnacentral:rRNA from 1 species
ACUCCUACGGGAGGCAGCAGUAGGGAAUCUUCCACAAUGGGCGCAAGCCUGAUGGAGCAACACCGCGUGAGUGAAGAAGGGUUUCGGCUCGUAAAGCUCUGUUGUUAAAGAAGAACACGUAUGAGAGUAACUGUUCAUACGUUGACGGUAUUUAACCAGAAAGUCACGGCUAAACUACGUGCCAGCAGCCGCGGUAAUACGUAGGUGGCAAGCGUUAUCCGGAUUUAUUGGGCGUAAAGAGAGUGCAGGCGGUUUUCUAAGUCUGAUGUGAAAGCCUUCGGCUUAACCGGAGAAAGUGCAUCGGAAACUGGAUAACUUGAGUGCAGAAGAGGGUAGUGGAACUCCAUGUGUAGCGGUGGAAUGCGUAGAUAUAUGGAAGAACACCAGUGGCGAAGGCGGCUACCUGGUCUGCAACUGACGCUGAGACUCGAAAGCAUGGGUAGCGAACAGGAUUAGAUA